AUUUUCUCAUCAAGUAAUUGUUAAAUAUGAGCCAGCUCAAACAAAAAAAAAAAAGUCAUAGAACAUUACAUUUUGUGUAUCUGCAUACAUAUCUUUUCUGGAAUAUCAUGAGGAAGCUUUAAAUACUCCAGGACAGAAUAAUGAAAGUGCAGAACUCUGUUUCAGUGAUACAGUGGGACUAAAUUAAACCUUGAAGUUGCGCUUGAGGUAUCAAGCACUUGUGGAAAGAAUUCCCCAGAAAAUUGUUGAGCUGCAUCUGAAUGAUGUUCUGUAUCUACCACGAAUCCCACACACGAAAAGGGAAAUAAAAGAGCAAAAAGUAUGUAUGUUAUAAAAAGAACAGUGUUCAAAAGGGCUGCUUCUAAAGCAAGUGCAAGAUAACAGAAAGCCUGUUGAAGGCGUUACUCAUUAGUUUGACUGGUUGUUUACACCAGUGAUGUAAUUUGUAGAACUGUGUUGAUACUUUCUGUCAAGAAACUGGGUAAUAGAAAUAUAGGUUCAGCUUCAUCAUUAUGGUCCAGGCUGCUGGGACAAAGUUGUGAAGUGCAAUCCUUGUGGUACACCAACAGUUUUCCUGAAAUAUUUGAAAAGCACAUAAAGGAAAAGAAAGACCAGAUGGGAGACAAAAUGGUUCUGCGCUCAGGGAUCACAGGAACACCACGUUCAGUUCAGUGUCUAAAACUGCGAGGCUUGAAUGGAAAACAUACUAAUUCUAGACAACUAACAAUUCAGAUUGUCUCUGUGAGAGAAAGCUGAGAAAGUCCCAUUUUGAAGUGCCAAAGUAUCACAAGAGAAGGCUGGCCCAAGCCUGGAUGCCACCAUUGCCUUGUGCAUGUCACUGCCAACUGCUUCUGAACCUCAGUCAAGGGGCGUUUUCCAGCUCUGGACUGGCUCUACUCCUCCAUGGCUGUUCCUUCCCAUAGAGAUUACUUCUUAAGAAGGAAGCAAACUGAAGCAGCAGGCUGCUGAGAGCAGAGCUAAGAGCCUUAUACUGAAGGUAUGCAACAUUUCACAUAUACUGCCAUCUGUCGUUCCAGUUUUAUCACUCUGCCUCUGUGGUUUUUAUUCUAGCAGCAAGCAGAUCUCCUGCAAGGAAUGUUUUUGCAAGAGAUCUGUCGCAAGUACAGCUGGGAGGACUCAUACAUGCUCUGUCUGAAAUAGUACACACUUCAUUUAGCCGUUUAACCUGCUGCAUACACCUUCAGUUCUGGCUGUGACCAAAUUUGUGUUUGUUUCACUCAAUUUAUUUUAAUGGCAAGCUUGUCUCUUUAUUCAAACCACAGCCAGAGCUUUCAUGUUCUGAAUCGGUUGUACCUUUGCAGCGAGUUGUACAAACGUGUAUCACAAGCUUUGCAUGCACGUAUACAACUAAAAUCAUAAAGUUGUGUAAAAUCUCCUGCCUUAUACACUCACCUGCAGUUCCAUGUUUAGUCAAUUUGUAGCUCUUUGACUUUCCCUACUACAGCCUGCAGCUGCUCUCUUGAACUCUGCCCCUUCAGUUCAUCUGCCCAACAAAACUAAGUAAGUUCCUUUUGUUCUUACUUCUCAUCUUUCCUGCCCAUUUCACUUGCAAGAGCUAUAAGGAAACACGUCUCUAUGUAUGUAUUGUCACACAGACACAUUACUUCUUUGGGCUUGGCAUCACCUGGACAUGACUUAAAUCCUUCCAAGUCUAAACUAACCAGAGAAACAUCCCUAUAAUCACCAGAGACAGCAAGAGGCGCUAUCUGGGAUCAACAGGUAGCCUGGAGGAACAUUUCACAACUAACAGAGUCAACGUGCAAGCAAAGGACAGCAUUUUUAUAUCCAAAGAAGCAAAAUUAGGGCUGGGCGUGUGGAUGUGAGUGUGUUGGAUCUGGUCCUAGCAC